rnacentral:rRNA from 1 species
GACGAACGCUGGCGGCGUGCCUAAUACAUGCAAGUCGAACGCUUCUUUCCUCCCGAGUGCUUGCACUCAAUUGGAAAGAGGAGUGGCGGACGGGUGAGUAACACGUGGGUAACCUACCCAUCAGAGGGGGAUAACACUUGGAAACAGGUGCUAAUACCGCAUAACAGUUUAUGCCGCAUGGCAUAAGAGUGAAAGGCGCUUUCGGGUGUCGCUGAUGGAUGGACCCGCGGUGCAUUAGCUAGUUGGUGAGGUAACGGCUCUCCAAGGCCACGAUGCAUAGCCGACCUGAGAGGGUGAUCGGCCACACUGGGACUGAGACACGGCCCAGACUCCUACGGGAGGCAGCAGUAGGGAAUCUUCGGCAAUGGACGAAAGUCUGACCGAGCAACGCCGCGUGAGUGAAGAAGGUUUUCGGAUCGUAAAACUCUGUUGUUAGAGAAGAACAAGGACGUUAGUAACUGAACGUCCCCUGACGGUAUCUAACCAGAAAGCCACGGCUAACUACGUG